CUUAACAAACAACCCAACAUUCGCGAUCCGAUGGUAACUAGCUAGGUUAGCAAACCAGCCUGCGUUGUUGGAUUUAUAGGUAUAGACAUAGUCCUCCAGUCAAGAGCCUAGUUAAGUAAUUUAAGGAGGCCCUCGACAUAAGAAGACUGGAGGCCAUUGUUGGGAAAAUGGCAAGCAGUUUCUUCAAGCUGUUUUCACCUAGGAAGCGCAACAUAGGAGUCCUGUCUCUUAGUGGAGUAUGGUCAUUUGCUACAGCAGGGUUUUUUCUGAACAGAGAGCUCAUCACCACAGGAGCUCAAAUCAGGAGGCUGUACCCUGCCAGUUAUCCCAGACAGACAGUGACAUAUCCCGGUGUCCACAGCCUCCAACACCUAUUCAUUCGUUAGGGGUGUGCUAUCAUUGUACCCCCUUUUUGUCUGUACUUAUUUCAAUAGUGUUACCAACCUUCAAUUUCUCUCACGGUGCAGAGUUCCCUGAUUUACGCAAACACAGCAACUGCAAGGCCAGUCACCUCAUACCUUCUUUCUAUGCUAAGCUGUGUGCCUAUGGACAAUGUUAUCCAGACAGGAUUGGACAACCCUGGGCACCCCUUCAUAAAGUAUGUUGGCAUGGUAGCCGGAGACGAGGAGUCCUAUCAGGGGAUGGAUCACAACGGCCUGUGUGGUCUGUGUCUUUUCACAGUGAAUUGACCUGGAUGCCACCAAUGUACAUAAUGAUGGGAAUGUCCAUGGACAUAAGUAUAGAAAUGGCAUUGCAUCAACCACCCAGUUGACUAGAUCCAGGCAGGUCAGUUUGAUGAGCACCACGUGUCAUCGUCACGUGGACGGGCCUGAGCAUCUGAGGGCUGAGCCUGCCCCCUGGCUGUUGCUGGGCGGAGCGCCGGGAGGUGGAGCUGGUGGUGGACGCCCUCAACGUCCUGCAGGGGGAACUCAAGGGACAGUACAGAUGACUGACAAGGAGCAGCAGCUGCUCAUUCAUGUGAGGAAAACACAGUCUGCAACACACUGAUUUGGAGAAUUGUUUUUAUUUGUUUAAUUUCCUUAUUCUAUCACUGAGAUGCAUAACACUUGUUUUUGGAGUUCACAGGAUCACUUCCUGUUCGAUAUACCAGUGUCCACCCUCUUGACCUGUGCAGGAAUGGCCAGAGAUUGGCCAGAGGCACAGGGCAUUUGAUAAGUAUAAUGGUUUGAUAAAAGCACAACUCUAAAACCAAACAAGAUAAUCAAAUCCAAGUUUAUUUGUCACGUGCGCCGAAUACAACCUUACAGUGAAAUGCUUACUUACAGGCUCUAACCAAUAGUGCAA